rnacentral:rRNA from 1 species
UAUGGAGAGUUUGAUCCUGGCUCAGGACGAACGCUGGCGGCGUGCUUAACACAUGCAAGUCGAGCGAUGAAGUUCCUUCGGGAAUGGAAUAGCGGCGAACGGGUGAGGAACACGUGAGGAAUCUACCUUCUACUCUGGGAUAACUCCGGGAAACCGGGGAUAAUACCGGAUAUGAAACUUGGUGGCAUCACCGAGUUUGGAAAGUUUUUCGGUAGAAGAUGACCUCGCGGCCUAUCAGCUUGUUGGUGAGGUAAUGGCUCACCAAGGCGACGACGGGUA